rnacentral:rRNA from 1 species
AGGGUGCAAGCGUUGCCCGGAUUUAUUGGGCGUAAAGGGCGCGUAGGCGGCUCGGCACGUCCGUUGGGAAAUCGCCCGGCUCAACUGGGCGGGGUCAGCGGAUACGGUCGAGCUUGAGCAAGCUAGGGGGCAAUGGAAUUCCCGGUGUAGUGGUGGAAUGCGUAGAUAUCGGGAGGAACACCAGUGGCGAAGGCGGUUGCCUGGGGCUUUGCUGACGCUGAUGCGCGAAAGCGUGGGGAGCGAACAGG